rnacentral:tRNA from 1 species
GGCUUUAUAGCUCAGUUGGCUAGAGCAUACGGUUCAUACCCGUAGUGUCACUGGUUCGAAUCCAGUUAAAGCCACCA